rfam:Eutrema salsugineum unplaced genomic scaffold scaffold_15, whole genome shotgun sequence.
UCAAGUAAUGUGACCUUACUGUAAAUAUAGACAAAGAUUAAUACUUGUGGGGUAUUAGGUGAGCAUUCUAUUAGCUUUGGAAGCUCAUGAAGAACCUACAGAUAUGU